rnacentral:rRNA from 1 species
CCUACGGGGGGCAGCAGUGAGGAAUAUUGGUCAAUGGACGCAAGUCUGAACCAGCCAUGCCGCGUGCAGGAAGACGGCUCUAUGAGUUGUAAACUGCUUUUGUACGAGGGUAAACGCAGAUACGCGUAUCUGUCUGAAAGUAUCGUACGAAUAAGGAUCGGCUAACUCCGUGCCAGCAGCCACGGUAAUACGGAGGAUUCAAGCGUUAUCCGGAUUUAUUGGGUUUAAAGGGUGCGUAGGCGGUCGGAUAAGUUAGAGGUGAAAUCCCGAGGCUCAACUUCGGAAUUGCCUGUGAUACUGGUCGUCUAGAGAGUAGUUGCGGUAGGCGGAAUGUAUGGUGUAGCGGUGAAAUGCUUAGAGAUCAUACAGAACACCGAUUGCGAAGGCAGCUUACCAAGCUACUUCUGACGUUGAGGCACGAAAGCGUGGGGAGCAAACAGGAUUAGAUACCCUUGUAGUC